CAGCAGUUGCGGUUAUACAAAUAAUGUAAUUUAAUUUUAUUAGUUAUAAUUAAUUUGAAUUUAAAAUUUUAAAUUAAAUUUAUUAGGUGAAAUUUUAAAUUUAGUAAAAGUUUUUGAUUAGGUAAUGAAGUUAGUAAAUUUAGAUAGUAAACUAGGAUUAGAUACCCUAUUAUUUUAAAUGUAAAUUUUUUACUUAGCUAUUAAUAGAUAUAAUCUUUAAAAUUAAAGAAUUUGGCGGUAUUUUAGUCUUUUCAGAGGAACCUGUUCUAUAAUCGAUAAUCCACGAUUAAUUGAACUUACUUUAUUAGUUUGUAUAUCGUCGUAGUUUGAAUAUUUUAUAAGAAUUUAAAUAUUCAAGAAUUUUUAUUUAAAAAGAAUUCAGAUCAAGGUGCAGUUUAUAAGUGAGAAGAAAUGGGUUACAAUAAAUAGAUUUAUAUGGAAAAGUAAAUGAAAAUAGCUUUGAAGGUGGAUUUGAAAGUAAUUUAAUUUAUAUAAUUUAAAUGAUUAAAGCUCUAAAAUAUGUACAUAUCGCCCGUCGCUUUCGUAUAAAAUGAAAUAAGUCGUAACAAAGUAGGCUUACUGGAAAGUGA
rnacentral:rRNA from 1 species